UGAAGGGAAGCGCAGCAGCAGGAGGAGGAAGAAGAGCAGAAGGAGGAGGAAGAGGAGGAGGAGGAGCGUGUUUGAGCGUGUGUGUUUGACUGUUUGUGCGAGCGAAAGUGAGACUGAAUGAGGCGGCGUACAUCAUAGCCAUUCAUAACCAGUAUUUUUAUUUUGUUAGCAAGGUGGAGGAGGUGAAGAAGAAGAGGAGGAGAAGGAGGAGGAGGAGAAGGAGGUGUAAAAGUACUAACACUAUAUGAGAGAGAGAGAGGAGACGGGGUGAGAGCAGCUUUACAACACUAACUAGCGGUACACAUCUUUUUAUUUUCUUUUAUUCUUUAGCCAGAUAAGCUUUCGAUUUGAUUUUGGCGGUACACCCCCCCAUCCCCCCCGAUACCUCACACAGCGCUCCUGCACAUGCUCACUAGAGGCCAAACAGACACACAAAAAAACCUCAACACAUCACACUCUCAGCGACGCCAUGGCAACCUCCAUUUAAAAAAAUACCUACCAAAAUAAACAUACAUAUAGCAUCGUAACUUUAGCCGUAAACGUCUGAUUUUACACACCGGCGUGUGAAAUGUGAAUUUUAAAAACAUCUACAAACAUAAUACAAUGCUGAUUGUAUAAUAAUUAUAAUUCAUAUUAUAAUAACACUAAUGAUACAAUGAUGAUUUACAUAUUUUAUACAAGGAAAAAGUCUUCACUUCAGCUCCCAAUGCAGGUAGAUUUAAUAGUAUACUACAACUCCUCCCAAUGCAGGUAGAUUUAAUAGUAUACUACAACUCCUCCCAAUGCAUGUAGAUUUAAUAGUAUACUCAACUCCUCCCAAUGCAGGUAGAUUUAAUAGUAUACUACAACUCCUCCCAAUGCAGGUAGAUUUAAUAGUAUACUACAACUCCUCCCAAUGCAUGUAGAUUUAAUAGUAUACUCAACUCCUCCCAAUGCAGGUAGAUUUAAUAGUAUACUCAACUCCUCUCAAUGCAGGUAGAUUUAAUAGUUUACCACAACUGCUCCUUAUGCAGGUAGAUUUAAUAGUAUACUACAACUCCUCCCACUGCAGGUAGAUUUUUAUAUUUACUACAACUGAUCCCAAUGCAGGUAGAUUUAAUAGUAUACUCAACUCCUCCCAAUGCAGGUAGAUCUAAUUAGGAUACAAAAACAUCAGAUGGAAUUUUUUUUUUUACUAAAAUCCUGUCCUGUCUUUCUUUCUUCUAUAGAUUAAAUUUUCAAGUGACUUUAAAUUUCCAUUUAUUAAUAUUUUAUGUUGUAAAUAAAUAGAAUAAAAAGUACUACUACUGCUGCUAACCCUAUGUAAGGUAAAUAAUCAAUAAUUAAAGUAUAAAUAAAGUGAAAUCAGCCACAGAGAUCAAUCACAGCACAGCGAGACAAUGACUAAUCAGGUUUUUUUUUUUUAAAAAGAAGAGAGAUUUAGUUUAAUAUUAGGAAAAAAUAAUAAUAUUCACCUUUUGAGAAACUGGAAAUUAGGAUUUUUGGGACACUUUUGCUUUUAAAAAAUGACUUUUGGUGAUUCACUUUCCUUCAGUUAAAUUGUUUUAGCUCCUAAAACGAUCCAUGAUGGAGCUCCUGAGCCUUUAAUUGGAUACUUUGUGGUAUCCUAUUAAAUAUACCUGCAUUGGGAGCUGCAGUGUGCAGACUUUUUGUUAUUUGGUCCAACACCUGCUUUUCUUACCCUGGAUGUGCUCUGGAUCUAAAAACAAACUUUACAGAUAUUUUAUACCUCAGACUGCUGCUGUUUGCUUAUAAUUUUAUAUUUUAGACAUCGGAUUCAAGGACACAUGUUGUAGAAAUGGAAAAUAACAGAGUAAGGCUUUAAAAAUAUAAAAUAUAUUUAAUUAAAUGCUCCCCCUGCAAACAGAUGCAUUAAAUUCAAAGGCGUUAAAAUGCAAUCAAACAGCACAGAUGGACAUAUUUAAAUAAGAUGUGUAAAUGAAUCUCUUAUUCAGCUGAUAUUUAAUUUUUAAAGGAUCAUUCUGCUGAUUUUGAAAACAUUUUUUUUCUUCUCAUGUUUGAAUCCAAACCAACAAACUGAUCUACUAACAAAGUCUGAUAAAUCGUAUUACUCCGUUGUUGUUCAGAAAUGAUCAAAAACACGUCACACGUUUGUCGACAAUAAGAAAAAAUAGAAAAAUAUAAAAUUUUUGCUGCAGACACGUUAAGAUACGUUAAAUCGCUUCGUCCUGAUGUGUGAAUGAGACCGAUUGGAUUCACAGAAAAUGUACUUGACUGCAUAACCGUUUUAGUGAAUGUCUCAUUAUGGGAUGUACUGACACGUGACACACUAUGUUUAAUAAUCUACAGCCUCUAAUACACGAGACGGACUAGAAUUUAUUUCUUUCUUUAAUUAAUUAAAUGAUGUAAUGCGAUAAAAGGCUUAUAAAGGGGCGUUACCAUGGUUUCCUGAGUACAGAUGAUCUUUUACGUUUAUUUUAAGCACAGAAAAGUCUCUGUUUUUUUUCUCCCCCUAUUUAAUAACUUUAUUUUAAAGGAAACUUUGUUGAUUUUCAACCAGAAUUGUCUCAUUUACAAUCAUUACAUUGGGGGUAAAAUGUAAAUAAACUGACCUCCAUGAUGUCUUGCAACCAGAGCUCAUUUAUCAUUAAAGUCCGUGUAAAAUAAAAAUAAAUAUGUGUUCUGAGUUUGACAUACCACAGAAAAGUGUGUUGUUAACCACCCUGCCAAAUUUGAAUGAUUAAAAAAUCACCAAAUAUUUGAAAUUAGGCUUCAAAGUUGUGUAAAAGUCUGCCUCUGUCUCUGCUCCCAAACGCUGUGGGAGUGGCCGCCGAGUCUGCUGAAGCCCCGCCCCCUACCACGUGUCACCUGUCAAUCAAAGUCACCACCUCUACCAGAAACAUGGACGCUAGGUCUGAGAGCUUUCUGCUGCUAACUCAGCUGCUAGCUCGGCGGCUAGCUCGGCGGCUAACUCAGCUAACUGGCUAACUGUAGACUGUAGUAGUAGUGUGCGCUGAAUGUAUUUAUACCUCUACAGCAGCAGGGGCGGGUUUAUACUAAACAUCGCCGGGUUACGUAAGGCGGCGGUGUUUUCAGACCCGCCCAUUAAAUCCAGGCACAGAAAUCUUGAAACACAGUUUGUGAAGCCUAGCUCCAUAAUUCAAAUCUAAAUGGUUGAAAUGCUUUUUACACUUUUUUUAGAAAUACAUUCAUGACCUAUUUAAUGUGUUUAGAAGAAAAUGUCUGAAUUCACUUUACACAGUCUUUUUAAAAAAAAACGUCACUAUUUCAUACUACAGGCGUUCUUUACCAGUUUAUUGUUAUUUUUUCACUGUAGUUUGAACCAUUUCACUUGUUUCUAUAUUAAGGCAAAAAACAAAGCUCAGACACAUUGUUCUGGCACAUGGAAACACAUUUUGCCCACUGAUAUAAAAACACAUCUCUUCUAAUCUCUCUCCACGUCGCUCUGUUAGCUGUUAUUCACACAAAGUUAUAUUUGACUGGCUGAACUUUUAUAAACUCCUCUGACACAUUAUGAGCAAACAUUUGAAUAAAUAAGAGAUAAGUAAGCAGGUAACAUUUCAUUCAUUCAUUUCACUGGGUCUUCACUACGAGGAGCGUCUGACCCGUGUGGUGUUUCGUUGUCACCUCACAGAGUUGGAGUUACAUUCAGGCACCGACGAGAGCGACGCACCGCAGCCUUUUUUCAGCUUCAUACAAAGACAAACUACAUUUCCUUAUUUUCUGUCGGGGAGCUUUGAAGGACGACCGGCAGUCACUACAACACCGGUCUCCAACUCUGCUCCUGCUGCAUGUUUUAGGUUUCUCUCCACUGUAACACACCUGAUACUAAUUAUUAACUCACUAUGAAGCCUGUUGACGAGCUUCAGCUGCUUGAUAACGAGUUAAUAAUCAGAAUCAGGUGUGUUAGAGUGGAGAGAAAACUUAAAACAUGCAGCAGUAGCUCUACAGAAGCAAGUUGGAGACAACUGUACUACAAUAUACUACUUAACAGUUAAAAAUAACUGCAUAUUUUCUAAUUAACACCUUUAUAACUGACCUAUAAAACAUUAGGUGAUGAUUUAUUAACCAUUAAUUAAGCUGUUAGUUGCUGCUUUGUUAGAAAGAGGCAUCAAAUUAUCUUCAAUGGAAGAUAAUGAAGCUGAUUUAUCCUUCACCACUGUCCUGUAAUGCUGUAUUUUUGUGUUGUUUUUUUGUUAAAAUAACAAAAUAAAAUAUAUAGGAAGCAAAAUAUAACAAAAUGGAAAUUACAGCAAAAUUAUUUCAGAUUAAACAGCAAAAAAAACAACCUACAAUGACAGCAACCAUUCAAUGUUUGAAAGGGUGUAAAAUGAAGUUAACACCUUUUUCUAAUCCGACCCCUUUUUUCUUUUUUUGUUAAGGUCCAAUAAUCAAAUCAAGCCAAAAAAACAACAACUUUAAAAUAAGUGGUUUGGCAGGUUUAAAAAUCUAAAUUUAAAAUAAAAAAAAUUAAAGGGAUAUUUUGUGUAUUUUUUGCAGACGGGGAGCUCUGGUCCUCUGAAAUGAUGCCAACGCGGAAGUAACUUAAAACUGCAUUCUAUCAAAAGGCCACCAGGGGGCGACGGUUUUGGUGUCAAAAGGACUUCCGUCUCUAUACAAGUCAAUGGAGAAUUCACCAACUUCUCACUUGAUUUCUAACCUCAGUAAACGUUUUCACAAUGUGUUUAUGGUCUCAAUCGCUAGUUUAAAGCCUUCUUCAAUGCAGUAUGAUGUUCAUUUGGGACAUUUUGGCCUCCCUGAUUUUAUAUGUGACGAUAAAGCAGGGUAUGCAUUAGGGCGUGGCUACGUGGUGAUUGACAGGUUGAUUGGUUCACAGGUUCAGGAGGGCGCCUCAUGCUCCUCCUGAUGCCCAUAUAAGUAGAAUCCAUGUUUUUAUUUUACCCAGCAUGCACCGGAAAUGUUCAAGAUGGCGCUGCUCAGAUCCGAAACUAUUGGCCUCCGAGCAGCAGUCCACAAACCAAUGGGUGACGUCACGGAUGUUAGGUCCAUUAUAUAUAUACAGUCUAUGAUUUUUUUUGCGUAUUGUGGGAACGCGAAAGCCGGCGUUGACGUUAAACUGACAGGUUUUUUUUUUUCUUUUGAAUGGAGGUUGGUUUGACGGCGUUCGGACGCAAGCGGAGGACGUGAUGUGUUGGCGGGAGGGCGGGAAAACGUUUUACCUCAGUCACACUCAGCAGCGUCACUCAGAGUUCAGUCUCUCUCUCUCUUUUUUCUCUCUUACACACACACACACACACAAGAAAGCUGAACUGAGAGAGAAAUUAAUGACGAUACCAAUAACAAUAAUAUUGAUGGAAAUAAUAAUAAUAAAUAAUAAUAAUAAUAAUGACGGUCAGAAUAAUAGUAUUAAUUUUAUUUGUUUUUAAAGACACCUUUUUAUUUUAUUUUGUACGCUUUACUCCAUGUAUGUAACACUUGUUCCGACUUCAUCUUUGUAAUUCAGUUAAAAAUGUCUUUGUGCCUUUUUUUUUUUUUUUUUUUAAUUUUAAUGUUUUUUUUGGGGGGCGGGGGGGGUAAAAAGAAAGAAAACAACUAAGAUUUGUUAUAAUAAUGCCUCAUUCUCAUGGCUUUUUUUUUGUUUGUUUUGUUUGUUCCCCCCCCCCCCCCAUGCUGUCUUCUCCUCCUCGACCUCAUCCUCUAUUCAUCAAAGGUUUUAAAAGUAAAAUGUUUAAAAAAAAAAAAAGAAAAAAAAA